GUGGGGAAUAUUGGACAAUGGGCGCAAGCCUGAUCCAGCCAUGCCGCGUGAGUGAUGAAGGCCCUAGGGUUGUAAAGCUCUUUCACCGGUGAAGAUAAUGACGGUAACCGGAGAAGAAGCCCCGGCUAACUUCGUGCCAGCAGCCGCGGUAAUACGAAGGGGGCUAGCGUUGUUCGGAUUUACUGGGCGUAAAGCGCACGUAGGCGGAUCGUUAAGUCGGGGGUGAAAUCCUUGAGCUCAACUCCAGAACUGCCUUCGAUACUGGCGAUCUUGAGUCCGGAAGAGGUUAGUGGAACUCCUAGUGUAGAGGUGGAAUUCGUAGAUAUUAGGAAGAACACCAGUGGCGAAGGCGGCUCACUGGUCCGGUACUGUCGCUGAGGUGCGAAAGCGUGGGGAGCAAACAGGAUUAGAUACCCUAGUAGUCC
rnacentral:rRNA from 1 species